AGAGUUUGAUCAUGGCUCAGGAUGAAUGCUGGCGGCGUGCCUAAUACAUGCAAGUCGAGCGGUAAGGCCCUUCGGGGUACACGAGCGGCGGACGGCUGAGUAACGCGUGGGAACAUGCCCCAAAGUGAGGGAUAACGCACCGAAAGGUGUGCUAAUACCGCAUAUGGUCUUCGGAUUAAAGGAUUUAUCCGCUUUGGGAGUGGCCCGCGUACGAUUAGAUUGUUGGUGAGGUAACGGCUCACCAAGUCGACGAUCGUUAACUGGUCUGAGAGGAUGAUCAGUCAGACUGGAACUGAGACACGGCCCAGACUCCUACGGGAGGCAGCAGUAAGGAAUCUUCCACAAUGGGCGAAAGCCUGAUGGAGCAACGCCGCGUGCAGGAUGAAGGCCCUCGGGUCGUAAACUGCUUUUAUGAGUGAAGAAUAUGACGGUAACUCAUGAAUAAGCACCGGCUAACUACGUG
rnacentral:rRNA from 1 species